AUUGAACGCUGGCGGCAGGCCUAACACAUGCAAGUCGAGCGAGCGGCGGACGGGUGAGUAAUGUAUGGGGAUCUGUCCGCUAGAGGGGGAUAACUGCUGGAAACGGUUGCUAAUAUCGCAUACUAUCGGAUGAAUCCAUAUGGGAGUAGCUAGUAGGUGGGGUAACGGCUCACCUAGGCGCCGAUCUCUAGCUGGUCUGAGAGGAUGAUGAGCCACAGUGGUGCUGAGACAAGGCCCAGAAUCCUAAGGGAGGCAGCAGUGGGGAAUAUUGCACAAUGGGCGGAAGCCUGAAGCAGCCAUGCCGCGUGUAUGAAGAAGGCCUUAGGGGUGUAAAGUACUUUAAGCGGGGAGGCGUUACCCGAAGAAGAAGCACCGGCUAACUCCGUGCCAGCAGCCGCGGUAAUAC
rnacentral:rRNA from 1 species